CAGUUAUUGUAGGUGGGUUUCUUUAAUUUUAGAAUAGUUUGUCUUUUUUAAUCAUUUUGGGCCAAAUUUAUGUGGUGGUAUAUCAGAAUCAAGUGUUGUAUUCGAUGUCUUUUGUGUAAUCGGUUGGGGUGUUGGCUCUAUCUUGUUUCUGCUUGUAUUUCUUGUCGUUGUUGCCUAAGUGAGUUGAGAAUUGGAAUUAUUGUUGGAGCUCGAGUUUGUUUUGAGUUCUGGGUGGGUUUGUGGAUUCCCAUUUAGGAAUUUAGUAUAAUUCAUGAUUCCUAGGGUUUGUUUAUGCUCAUUUCUAUUAAUGGUUCUUUUGAUUUCUUAUCUGGAUCAAUCUUUUAGGUGAUUUCAGUUUGUGGAAAUCCAUGUUCGUAAGCAGAGUAUAAAGGAGUGGUUUGAUCUUUGAUGGAGGUUAAUGGUAUGGCGAGAGGAAUGAUCUCUGGUCUGUCUCUUGGAAUGCUUGGGUUGGAGAUGCCUCUGCAUCAAACAUAGCAACAACACCAUCCUCACCAACACCACCAGUAGCAACAACACCCCCAAAUGGUGUCAUUUCCAGGUUAAGACGCCAAUCAUCACUUGUAGUCUCAGUCUGUGAAGCAGCAUGAACACCCUUCUUAUGCCACCAAAGCGAAACCACAACCAGCAUUGAGACGAGGAGUAGGAAUUCGCGGGGGAAGACGGUGGAGCAGACGAGAGAAAGAGGAUGUCUCUGUGGCAGAGAAUGAAGUGGACAGAUAACAUGGUGAGGCUUCUCAUCAUGGUGGUCUUCUACAUCGGCGACGACGGUGGCUCUGAAGGCAACGACCCCUUCGGCGCUGCCAAGAAGAAGCCUGACGGGCUUCUGCAGAAGAAAGGCAAGUGGUUUUAGGUUGGUAUAAGAAAUCCACAGGAUUCCGCAAAAACCUCUUCACAUUUUUGAGUUUUGACCUCUGAAAUUUCGAA